rnacentral:rRNA from 1 species
CAAUAGCGUAUAUUUAAGUUGUUGCAGUUAAAAAGCUCGUAGUUGGAUUUCGGUUAAGAGCGACCGGUCCGCCGUUUGGUGUGCACUGGUUGGUUUUAACUUCCUGUAGAGGACGUGCUCUGGGUUUAACGACCUGGACUCGGAGUCUACGUGGUUACUUUGAAAAAAUUAGAGUGUUCAAAGCGGGCUUACGCUUGAAUAUUUCAGCAUGGAAUAACACUAUAGGACUCCUGUCCUAUUUCGUUGGUCUCGGGACGGGAGUAAUGAUUAAGAGGAACAGUUGGGGGCAUUCGUAUUUCAUUGUCAGAGGUGAAAUUCUUGGAUUUAUGAAAGACGAACUUCUGCGAAANGANNNGCCAAGGAUGUUUUCAUNAA